rnacentral:rRNA from 1 species
AUUGAACGCUGGCGGCAUGCCUUACACAUGCAAGUCGAACGGCAGCGGGGGAGAAGCUUGCUUUUCCUGCCGGCGAGUGGCGAACGGGUGAGUAAUACAUCGGAACGUGCCCUGUAGUGGGGGAUAACUAGUCGAAAGAUUAGCUAAUACCGCAUACGACCUGAGGGUGAAAGUGGGGGACCGCAAGGCCUCAUGCUAUAGGAGCGGCCGAUGUCUGAUUAGCUAGUUGGUGGGGUAAAGGGCUACCAAGGCGACGAUCAGUAGCUGGUCUGAGAGGACGAUCAGGCACACUGGGAAUGAGAAACGGCCCAGACUCCUACGGGAGGCAGCAGUGGGGAAUUUUGGACAAGGGGCGAAAGCCUGAUCCAGCAAUGCCGCGUGUGUGAAGAAGGCCUUCGGGUUGUAAAGCACUUUUGUCCGGAAAGAAAUGGCUCUGGUUAAUACCUGGGGUCGAUGACGGUACCGGAAGAAUAAGGACCGGCUAACUACGUGCCAGCAGCCGCAGUAA